rnacentral:misc_RNA from 1 species
GUGAAUCAUCGAAUCUUUGAACGCAUAUUGCACUCUCUGGUAUUCCGGAGAGUAUGCCUGUUUGAGGGUCAUUAAUACGAUCCAUCACCACUUUUUGUUGGUCAACGGGAAUGAGUUCUUCGCGUUUAUAGCGGUAGCUUGAAAUAAAUGGUAGUCGCAUUUUAGUCGAGACGCGUAAUAAUAUUAUUUCGCGAAAUCUUUAUUAUGUGACUAUCAAGUUUUGAUGCAUACAA